GACAGAGGAUGCAAGCGUUAUCCGGAAUGAUUGGGCGUAAAGCGUCUGUAGGUGGCUUUUUAAGUCCGCCGUCAAAUCCCAGGGCUCAACCCUGGACAGGCGGUGGAAACUACCAAGCUGGGAGUACGGUAGGGGCAGAGGGAAUUUCCGGUGGAGCGGUGAAAUGGCGUAGAGAUCGGGAAAGAACACCAACGGCGAAAGCAACUCUGCUGGGCCGACACUGACACUGAGAGACGAAAGCUAGGGGAGCGAACGGGG
rnacentral:rRNA from 1 species